AAUACUCCAAUACACUCCCUCAAACUUAAAGUUCGAGUUUGCUACGAAAGGAAACAAAUCAAUAGAUAAGAAAUCCACGGAGAACAAACACAAAGAACUUCUAGGAUAAAAAAAACCCACAAAGAACAAAACGAAAAAAUUUUGGGAUAGAAACAUAGAUCUUCGUAUAGAGAUCUAUAACAAAACCUAUAAAGAACGAAACAAGAACUCCUAGGCUUGAUAAAGAGAUGACAAAACAUAUAGUAAGACAUGAGGGAAAGGUUGGCUGGAUCUAGGGCGGAUGGAUUAGAAUCGAACAGAGACGAGCUGAACAGAUCUUGGAACGAGACUGGAUCUAUGGGACAGAGCAUAUGGAAACCAUAACUAUGUGGGACAAAGAUGAACUAAAACUGGUCGAUAAUGAAGCAAAUUAGAACCAGAUGCGGAAGCCAAAAUGAUCAGUUUGGAAUUGGAGUGAACGAAUUUGAAAAUUGGAGGUGAAUAGAAAAAAAACCAAACUGAUCGAAGCGAAAAAUGAAUCAAGCGCGAAUGGUGGUGAAGACGAAGAAGACGAAUAGGGUUUGGAUGGCAGUAGAUUUGAGGACAAAGGGAAUUAAAGUGCGGUGGCGGUGGCUGAUUUGCAAAUCUAAGGGGCGACGACUAAUGAGGGAUGAGUCUGCCUCUAUCGACGAAUGAUCAACAGAGGUAGACAUCGAACGGGGAUGUGGG
rnacentral:lncRNA from 1 species